rnacentral:rRNA from 1 species
UACGUAGGGUGCGAGCGUUAAUCGGAUUCAUUGGGCGUAAAGGGUGCGUAGGUGGCGCGCUAAGUCAGGUGUGAAAUUUCGGAGCUUAACUCCGAAACUGCAUUUGAUACUGGCGUGCUUGAGGACUGGAGAGGAGACUGGAAUUCAUGGUGUAGCAGUGAAAUGCGUAGAGAUCAUGAGGAAGACCAGUGGCGAAGGCGGGUCUCUGGACAGUUCCUGACACUGAGGCACGAAGGCCAGGGGAGCAAACGGG